CACCAAGAGCAAACCCAAAACCCACAUAAUCAAUCUUGUAUAAACUCCAGUAGUGAGCUCUGCUCUGUGUGCAGUUCUCACCCAGACUGAUUUUCACAGGGAAGUGGUGAAUUUUGCACUUGAGGCAUUUUCAGAUAAAUACCUCCAAUUUGGAGCCAGCUUCACUCAGCUUGCAUAGGUUUCUCUACCAGCUUCACUGGGGCUACCCUGGACUGAGGUCCCCUACAUCCUGACGGCCUCAUUUCUCCCUAAAUAAACUUGAAGCACAGAAGCAAAAUGCAUUUGUUGCCUGGGAAACACACAAUUCAGUAUAUGAGGUGGCCAUCCUAAGAGAGCCAUAGACCUCCAAGGAAGAUUUUAUACCAAUAACUGUAACCAACCAGAAGUACCAGAGUCUUGGUCUUCAUUUCAGAAAUGUUUUACUAUAACAGUGAGAGAAUGUGACAGAAUUUCAGGAGAGAGCAAAAAGCACUGCCUAAGGAUUACUGGUAAACUCCUCACUGUAUCAUCACUGUCUCAUUAGCUCCACUUUUUCACUUUGAUUCACUGACUGUUUUCUGCAACACGCUGCUCCUUUGAAUCACUUACCUCCUUAGGCUUCUAAAUGCCAGUAAAUAUAUUGCAAAAACAUAUGAGAUUCUGGCACUGACAGUAGGCUAUCAACAACCAACCCCCUUUCUCUCAGGAAA